rnacentral:tRNA from 1 species
GAUUUAGUAGCUCAGCUGGUAGAGCACAUCCCUUUUAAGGAUGGGGUCCUGGGUUCGAGCCCCAGCUAGAUCA